rnacentral:piRNA from 1 species
UAGAAGCAUAGGAAGGGAUCCCUAUCCCCAC